rnacentral:pre_miRNA from 1 species
CAUAUACUCCCUCCGUCCUAAAAUUCUUGUCUUCAAUUUAUCUAAAUAUGAAUGUAUCUAGCCACGUUUUAGUAUUUAGAUACAUCCAUUUCUAGAUAAAUUUAAGACAAUUUUUUUGGGACGGACGGAGUACCUA